rnacentral:rRNA from 1 species
GUGGGGAAUCUUAGACAAUGGGGGAAACCCUGAUCUAGCCAUGCCGCGUGAUCGAUGAAGGCCUUAGGGUUGUAAAGAUCUUUCAGGUGGGAAGAUAAUGACUGUACCACCAGAAGAAGCCCCGGCUAACUCCGUGCCAGCAGCCGCGGUAAUACGGAGGGGGCUAGCGUUGUUCGGAAUUACUGGGCGUAAAGCGCACGUAGGCGGAUAGGGAAGUUGGGGGUGAAAUCCCGGGGCGCAACCCCGGAACUGCCUUCAAAACUCCCAGUCUUGAGUUCGAGGGAGGUGAGUGGAAUUCCGAGUGUAGAGGUGAAAUUCGUAGAUAUUCGGAGGAACACCAGUGGCGAAGGCGGCUCACUGGCUCGAUACUGACGCUGAGGUGCGAAAGCGUGGGGAGCAAACAGGAUUAGAAACCCUAGUAGUCC